UGCCAGCAGCCGCGGUAAUACAGAGGGUGCAAGCGUUAAUCGGAAUUACUGGGCGUAAAGGGUGCGCAGGUGGUUUUAUUAGUCAGGUGUGAAAUCCCAAGGCUCAACCUUGGAAUUGCGCUUGAAACUGUAAGGCUAGAGUAUUGUAGAGGGUAGUAGAAUUUCCGGUGUAGCGGUGAAAUGCGUAGAUAUCGGAAGGAAUACCAGUGGCGAAGGCGGCUACCUGGACAAAUACUGACACUGAGGCACGAAGGCGUGGGUAGCAAACAGGAUUAGAUA
rnacentral:rRNA from 1 species